rnacentral:rRNA from 1 species
AACAUGUCUUUUAGAAAUUUAAUUUAAAGUCUAGCCUGCCCACUGAAUUUUUUUUUAAAUGGCCGCAGUAUCCUAACUGUGCAAAGGUAGCAUAAUCAUUAGUCUUUUAAUUGAAGGCUGGAAUGAAUGGUUGGAUGAAAUAUUAACUGUUUCAUAAAAAUUUAUAAUAGAAUUUUAUUUUUUAGUCAAAAAGCUAAAAUAUAAUUAAAAGACGAGAAGACCCUAUAAAUCUUUAUAUUUAGAAAAUUACAAUUAUUUAGAUAAUUUUAAUUUUAUUUUUUUUAAAUAUUUUAUUGGGGUGAUAUUAAAAUUUAAUAAACUUUUAAUUUAUUUUUUAACAUAAAUUAGUGAAUUAUUGAUCCAUAAAUUAUGAUUAAAAAAUUAAGUUACUUUAGGGAUAACAGCGUAAUUUUUUUAGAGAGUUCAUAUUGAUAAAAAAGAUUGCGACCUCGAUGUUGGAUUAAGAUAUAGUUUUAGGUGCAGCAGCUUAAACUUAAAGUCUGUUCGACU